AUUGAACGCUGGCGGCAGGCCUAACACAUGCAAGUCGAGCGGAGCGGCGGACGGGUGAGUAAUGCCUAGGAAUCUGCCUGGUAGUGGGGGAUAACGUCCGGAAAAGGGCGCUAAUACCGCAUACUAUCAGAUGAGCCUAGGUCGGAUUAGCUAGUUGGGGGGGUAAAGGCCUCCCAAGGCGACGAUCCGUAACUGGUCUGAGAGGGGUAUCAGUCACACGGGAACUGAGCCACGGCCCAGAUUCCUACGCGAGGCACCAGUGGGGAAUAUUGGACAAUGGGCGAAAGCCUGAUCCAGCCAUGCCGCGUGUGUGAAGAAGGUCUUCGGAUUGUAAAGCACUUUACGUUGGGAGGCUUUUCCACCAGAAUAAGCACCGGCUAACUUCGUGCCAGCACCCGCGGUAAUA
rnacentral:rRNA from 1 species